rnacentral:lncRNA from 1 species
AUCGUGGUGAAAGUCACCCUCGAAGGCAGCCCUGGGGAGGAUAGAAGGCAGCGCCUUCCCGUCACUGAGCCCAUGGCAAUCAGAGCCCAAUGUCACCAGCGACUCCUGUGAAAUUAGCAGUGACUUCACGCGUUGAGGGCAUGGGGCAAAUGCCACCACCUGUCGGUAUUUCCAUCGGGUCUACACCCAAGAAAGGGGGAGAUGCUGCCUUUCUGAAGUAGGUUGUGCCUGAGGCGGCCUCAGCAGAGAGGAAAUGUGUAGGCGUCCACAGCCAGCCCAGCCUGCUCAGAAUCGCACCCACACUGAAGUUCUGGAGUUGGUGGCAGUGAUUCCUCCUCCAGCUUCCCAGAGCCUUGGAGUGCACUUAGGAGAUCAGCGAGGCCUCUGUGCACUGAUGGAAGCUGGCUUCCCCAGAAAUCUGCUGGAGUGAGGGCCUGUCAGGGGCCCUCCUGGCCGACGUUGACCAGGACUGGCCCAGGGACCAGGUGGACACGAGGGCAAUGAUGUCACAGCUGCCCCGACGGUUGAUGCCCCGUGGCUUGCCACGGCCGUGGCCUUGGAGACAGGGUCUCCGGCGCAGCGCCUCAGCUCCGCCCAUACUCGCUCCGCCCUGGUGGGCUCCAGCCUUUCCCUUUCCCUGGGGCUCAGCCUCCCAAUCAGUCAAAUGGGCAGAUUAACACCCAUGGCCUUGACUCCGUCAGAGACUGGGGGAAGAAAUCGUGAGUCAGGGCAGCGAGGUCUGCGGGGAGCGUUGUGAAGGUGUGAAGUGCUGAGCUCCCAGGUCCCUGGCUGCCACCAUGGGCUCGGAGCCGCGUGGUGAGUUCGCUUUCAUUCCUUAAAAACAGGCAGCCGCUAAGUGGAGAAACUGGGACACCCUUUGCAUCUUCUCAAUCUUAGUUCAGUGCUGUUUCCAAUAAACCACGGCUAUCCUUUAUCAGGGAUAAAGUCCUUUGGAUCAUCCAACUUCAGCUUGGACAGAGUUUCCUGAUAAAUAACAACAACAAUCAUAGUUGCCUGUGUUUCCCAGAAAACAAAGAUGAGGCAAAAGCUUAUGUGCUUUAGCACAUAAAGUGCAUUGUUGGAAGAGUGCAUUCCCAGGCUGCAGGAGUGAGGAAAAAGGAGAAGGAGGCAGAAAAGGAUGAAAAGAAAAUACAAGGAAGCUUCUAUCAAGCUGGGCACAGACUGGGGACAGCCUCACUGCACGGUCUUGCAGAACGUUCUCAGAGAUGGGACAGGAGCUGCUGUAGGUUCAGUCUACCUGGGAAAGAGGGAGAGGGAUUUGCUCACCAAAUCCCAUGUCCCAUUCGUCAAUGUCUGCCCCACGAGGUAUUAAUUUCCAGCACUCCCGGAGCUGCCUGAAUGUGGGCCCCCAAGGGUCCCUUGGAGUUGAGAUCUCAAAGUUGAUGUGAUGGGUAUGAUGGAUGUGAAAGAUGGAGCAGCAGCAGCCGGUUUGCAGCCUUGAGGGAAAGGCCAAGAGGCUUGUGGAAGUCUCGGUGAUGCCAUCUCCAAGAUGCUGAACCACGACCAGCAAUUUCCUACCCCAGAUUUCUCAAGAUUUGAGGAAAACAGUUAUGUAAUUAAGUUUCUAUAGCUACGCUUUCUGUUCCUGGAAGCUGAAAGCAUUCCUGAUUAAUGUGGUUAGUUUUCUGUUCAACUAGCAAACAGUACAGUGGUAAUGACAGAGUCCUAGACUAUCUGGGCUGAAAGGAACCUCAAACAGAGGUCAACCAGUGACCUGUCCUUUCAUUUCACAGGGACGAAAAGGGACAGGAAAGGGGUCCUUUCUGGGGUGCUUGUCCAGGGUGCUUCAGGGAGAGAGGGGUGGAACCAGGACUGUUUUCUGCAUUUCUCAGCAGCUCACGGUUGCUUUCACCACACCUCACUGAUGUGUGCUAUCUUCCAGGCAAUAAUGACAAGAGCCACCAUUUACUUAUUAGGCCAGGUGCAGAUUAAGUACUUUGCCUAUAUCAAUUCAUUACAUUCUCACCAAACUCCUCCAAGGGAGACAGUCUUGUUAUCAUUUGCAUUUAUGAGGAUGAAGCCAAGCACAGAGAGAUCAAGUAACUUGUCCAAGUAUCCAAAUCCAGACAUUGUAGUGAUGAUGACUCCAACCUCAGGAGUCUGGAGCCUGAGCUCCCACAUGGAACCACUAGGCUGUACUGCCUGGGUGGGGUUUCAGAAAUGCUGGUAUAAGAUUCCAGGCUGGUAGGAGCUUCUUAGGGUGAGACGAGUAGGGGCAAAUCAGCAGGGCCACCUCUCUGGUAAAGUCCUUGGGGCACUGCUUCCGGGAAACACAAUGUCAGUGGUGCCACUGGGCUGUCCAAUGUGGUGGCCCCAGGGUUUUGUCCCUGCAAGUGUCACACUGUGAGUUCCUCAGGAACUAGAUGACAACAUAAACAAAUGAAGCCAGGUGACUAUAGUGAGGGGUGUGGAAUGAGGCCAAUUGGGGAGCCCAAGCACCUUCUAAAGGAGCAUCGGCCCCUCAGCUUCAGCCUCUGUUACUGUGGGAAAAUAUGGGUCCACAUUUUACAGUUUUAUAGGUUUUCAAUGACUGCCUCAAAUCUGGACCUUUUUCUCUCUCUCUGCUUUAAUUUAAUUUAAUAUAUCUCUCUUGGUUGUGCAUCAUUUAAUUUUAUUCUUAGGUAAUUUUUUUAUUGUUAUGUCAUCCAUAUACCCUAAAAUUCACCAUUUUGAAGUAUGUAGUUG